rnacentral:sRNA from 2 species
CGCCCAAUUUGGUGAAAACACUGCCCGAUUAGUAAUUUUGAAGAUCGCUCAAGUGUUGAUGUGGCGAUGAGGUGAAUCUGGACCUUUCACCCAUGGUAACACCAAAACUGUAUCGAAUUCCCCAUUCUUGGAAGCGAGGAGAUCGCCAAAAUAGGUAAUCGCCUGGGACAUUGCAGUUAGUCAAACUAAAGAAUAGGCGAACUUACGCUUGGGCGAUUGCAGAAGUACUAACAUCCUCGUGGAAUCUCCGCUUCAAAUCCAUCUUUUCGUUGAUAUCAUGUUUCAAAAAUGGUGGGAGCCAAUACGUUUGAUCCCGAUUAAAGUUUGACAGAAAAGGAGUAGAAACAACGAAUAAUAUUGUCAUAAUUUCUUGUCAAAUCAAGUCUGUACAGACGAUUGGGCGCUUGAAAUGUCUUUCCAACUACAAGCUACUUUGUAAGUUGGACUGGCGCAAUCGAUGAGAAUAUGGCGGUGUCAAAUUUCUCGGCCAAAUUUAAGGUUACCUGCGCGGUCCGUUCUUGAACACGAAAACGGUUCCCCUCAAGCACCCGACGGAGACGAUCAUGCC